AACGAACGCUGGCGGCAGGCCUAACACAUGCAAGUCGAACGCCCCGCAAGGGGAGUGGCAGACGGGUGAGUAACACGUGGGAAUCGUCCUAUUGGUACGGAAUAGCUCAGGGAAACUUGGGGUAAUACCGUAUAAGCCCGUGAGGGGAAAGAUUUAACGCCGAUAGAUGAGCCCGCGUCUGAUUAGCUAGUUGGUGAGGUAACGGCUCACCAAGGCGACGAUCAGUAGCUGGUCUGAGAGGAUGACCAGCCACACUGGGACUGAGACACGGCCCAGACUCCUACGGGAGGCAGCAGUGGGGAAUAUUGGACAAUGGGCGCAAGCCUGAUCCAGCCAUGCCGCGUGAGUGACGAAGGUCUUCGGAUUGUAAAGCUCUUUUGCCAGGGACGAUAAUGACGGUACCUGGAGAAUAAGCCCCGGCUAACUUCGUGCCAGCCGCCGCAGUAACAC
rnacentral:rRNA from 1 species